rnacentral:tRNA from 1 species
UGCGGGAUGGUGUAGUGGUAGCACAGGUGACUCUGGAUCAUCUAGCCCAGGUUCGAACCCUGGUCCCGCAGCCA